GUUCGCCUCCUCCAGCGGCAGGAUGUGAGCCACCUGCAAGGAGGGACGCCAAUAAGGCAUCCGAUAAGAUAAGUCUUAUAAAAUAUAUAGAUUUAUAAUAAUUAAGACUGAGCUAGCAGAUGAGAAUCCUAGUCAUUGGCCAAGCAGCAUUGUACCUAAUACAAGUUUCUGUGUAUUCAUUUGGGCCUAACUUGGGCGGGUGGCUGACGUAAAGCGCACACGUGGCGGUGGGGCUCGGGUGGCCUUUGGCAGAAAGAUUUAUCGUAACAGCUUUCCUUCAUGAUUUUUAGUGAAAGUGUUUUAUAUAUGUAUCUUGAAAUAAUCAUCUUAAAAUUUAGAAUAAAAUAAAUGCAUGCUACAGAAUGUAGACUGUCUAGAACAUUUACAUAAGUUUUGCUACUAUAUAUGAUUUUCCAUUAUAGUUAUAUGCUUUAGUGACCCAACUAAUAAAGCAAAAAUCACUGGAUUGCUUUUUUAAUUGAAAAUAGAUUUUUUCUCACAUUAUAUAUCAUGAGUACAGUUUCUCUUCCCUCUACUGUUAUUUUUUUUGUUUAAAUUAGAUAUAAAGAAAAAGAGGAGGACACAAGAUGAGACUUAUUGACUAGUUUAUUAUAAGGCCCAGCAGAGUAGGGAGACUAAGAGAGAAGAGGAACAGGGGUAAUGGCUGACUGCCAUGGCCGGUUGCCAUAGAGAGGCAGAGAAAGUGCAUAGGUGGGAGAAGAGAAGAGCAGAGCAAAGAAGAAGCAAAGAGAGCAAAGCAGGAAAGUUGGAACUUUUAAAGGGAAGACUGAGGUUCCACACAUGACCAGAGUCCUCACGCAGGCCGAAUGCAUGGCAGUUGAUGUGGUGAUGACAUAGCAUGUUUUCCUGUGCUUGCCCUGACUGUUGUCAGGGGGCGAGGUCUGUCUCUUAAAGAGGUAGAGCCGAUCAGCAUUAAAGCCUGAACCUUUCAUCUACUCCUCCCAGUUCCUCCCCACCUUACCUCCUGUCCAGAUCCACCCCCUUUUUGUCUCUCAUUAGAAAACAAACAGGCUUCUAAGGGAAUGUGAUAUAAUAUAAUGUGAUUUGAAAAAGAAAAAAAAACUAAUACGUUGGAAUAAGACAAAACAAACAGAAGGAAAAAGAGCCCAAGGAAAAGAGAUCCGCUCAUUUACACACUCAGAAAUCCCAUUAAACACUAAAUUGGAAGCCAUAAUGUAUACACAAAGGACCUAUAAAGAGAGAAAAGGAAAAAAAUAAAAAUAAAACAACAAAAACAACAAGCAAACAAAAGGGAAGCUGCCUCAUAUUAUAUGAAAAGGAACCUGCAAAGAUGCCUUUGAGUUUGUGUUCUGUUGGCCAUCUACUGCUGGGCAUGCAGCCCACCUACCCUUAAGAGGAGUUUGUUUCCCCAGUAAGACUCCCUUGGAGAAAACUAGAUUUUCAUUUCCAAGUAGUUCCUGAUUGGAGAUUGCUUCUGAGUUAGGGAUGGGGUCAUGUCUUCAUGUCUCCUUUCAGCUCUAGGACCCCAUUGAUGCUACUUUUUUGUAGUGAAUUAAUGAGUAACUCUAGACUCAUAAUAUGUCAAUGAAUUAAAUUUGUUUAAUUAUGAGCUUUGACUGCAUAUUUAAAAACUCAAGUAAUUACAAAAAAUACAUACUCAUUUUUUUAUAAGAAAUGUAGGAUUAUUCCAAAAACUAUUACAGUGAAAAGCUGUAUAUAUAAAACACUAGUUGCUUAGAAGCCAAUUUAUUUGGGCUAUUAAUUUAGAGAGGUUGUACUUGUGCUGGCUUGUUUUUAUGUCAACUUGUUAUAGGUUGUAUUUGUAUAUAAUUGUGCAUACACAUACACAAAUACAUACAUUUAUACAUGUAUGUAACAGUAAUAAAGAAAAAGAUGCUAUCGAUUUUAAAAGGGGAACAUGGGAGGAGUUCAAAGUGGGGGAGCUGGGAUGGGCUGAGGGAGGAAAGGGAGGAAGGAAGGUGAUGUAAAUUCUUUUUCAAUUAAAAACGUUUUAAAAUUAUGAAUAUAUAUACAUUUAUACAUACUGAAGUGUUGAUGGAGCUUCUCUUGUCCUGCCAGGUUCCGUGCCCUUCUCAGCCCCAAAUAAACACAUAGAGACUUAUAUUAAUUAUAAAACUGUUGGCCAGUGGCUAGGGCUUCUUAUUGGCUAGCUCUCUCUUGAUUAUUAACCCAUAACUACUAAUCUAUGUAUUUCCAUAUCGUCUUGUCUUACUAGAGAAUGCCCAGACGUUUUACUCCUUGUGUGAUCUAUAUGGCAACUGUUCUGGUGGUCUCCCUUUGCCUACCUUUCCCAGAAUUCUUCUCGUCUCCUAGUCCUGCCUAUCUUCCUGCCUCAUUAGCCAAACAGUGUUUUAUUCAUCAACCAAUAAUAUACAGAAGGACAUUCCCCAUCCAGCUUCCCUUAAAGGAGUUACGAGCCUCUGCUUGUCUCUAGCAAACAGAGCCCACCCGAAAAAAUGUUGCUACCAAGAAGCUGUGCUUGACUUGGUUCUUUUGUUUCUAAAAUCCUCUUUUAAGCUUUUUUACUGGUUUUAUAUGGAAAUUUGUGCAACCCACGUUUGAGCCAUAUAAGCACACCAUGUGAUCCAUCAUAUCUUUAUAGCCCUCCUCGUUUGCCAACUGGAUGCAGAGGAGCCAGCAGAGAAGCCAAGGUCCUAGCAGAUGGUGGAGCCCUAGAUAGGAGAAGUCUUCCUGAACGAUGACCCUGAGGGUGCCUUUAAGCCAAAACCCCUUCUGCAGACUGCAUGACAGCAAAUAUAAGCAGUUCAGCUCUGGCAUUCUGAGGUUUGAGUUUCACAGCUGCUAGCCCCACUCACCUGAGUAAUGGGGAAGAGGAUACACUAUUGGGAAAAACAAAAGUAAAGACAAGCUAGGUAUGGUAGCACAUUCCUUCAAUCGGGAGGCAGAGGCAGGCAGAUAUCUGAGAUCGAGACCAGCCUGGUCUACAGAGCUAUAGGGUGUAUUCUAGGACAGCCAGGGUGACAUAGAGAGAACCUGUCUCAAAAAUGACAGCAACAAAACACAGCAAACACACAAAACAGAACACACACACACACAAAACCCUCUUCUUUAUGCCUUUGCCAAGGCUGCCCCCUUUUUGUUAAAAUGAAACUAGCAUUUCUGACAGAGAGAUGAUGGCUCUUGAUGCUUAUUACUUAUUAGGUAACUAAAGUGCAGCUAUUUUUAGCAGAAAAAAAAUGUUUGUGGGGGGAACAUUGGAGAAACACAGAAAGGAAAAAAGUAAUGACAGAUACAUUUUUUUUUUUUUUUGGUCAUAGGAAAAGAGGGAGGAAACAUAAAAAUAAAUAACAAAGGAACCAAGUAAACCAGCCAGUUAAUAGGAGGACCAGUCCUAAGAGAUUGCUUCUAAGUUAUGUAGUCCUGGAAAUUUCUGCAUGAAUUAGAGCCUAUUACAUGUAUGGAUGAAGCUCAUUAUCUUGUAUGCUAACUUUAAACAUUAAUUAAAUAAUAAUAUGUAAAUGUUCAUAAUAACAUUGUUUUACAUUUAUAAAAUAGUCACAAACCAUAUUGCCUCCAAAAGUCUCCCCUCCAUAUCUUUCAGUGAUCAAUUGCUAUGUAGGUAAUGCUGAGAAAUGCCUUUUAUUAUUAUGAAUGACAUCUGUCAGCUUCAUGUCUUAGUGUAUAAUGUACUUAUUUGAAGACAAGCACACUGGACUUAGAAAAAUGAUUUUUUUAAACAGCUGUUAUUUUAUUUUACAUGUGUAAAUCAAUGUCAACAAUAUUGCUACCUAUCACACUGUUGCACAGGACUUACAAGUUAGGGAUUAGAGAGACAUUAUAGGAAAAUUGGCCUUGAUUAAAUAAUUAUGUUUAGAUAUACAGGUGCAGUGGAAAGGGGGCCUUGGGAGAUGGGUUAGGUAUGGUUAGAAAGACCAGAGGACAGGUUGGUUUAUAUGACUGCUAAGUCCUUUAUACGUUCUCUGUUCCCCAGAACAUUAAAAAUUAAACUCAUAGAAUUUGGAGUGACAUUGAAACUAUGAUAUUAUAUCUGAAGCCAAUAUAUACCUAAAACUAAAUCCAUGAUAGAGUGAGCCUCCCUUCCAAAAAUAAAAUAUCUCCCACUUCUGAGCCUGUGGAGAUGAUCACUGAUGCUUCGGAGUCCAACAGAUCUGGUCUGAAUCCAGCCCCUAUUUACCGAUGACCUGGGCACGUGGCAUGUCCUCUUCAAGGCUCAGCCUCCUCUUCUGGAUAAUGGAGAUGGUCUCAUCUAGCUGCUGUGUGGGAUAAAUAGCACGAGGCCUGGGCCUGGUGCCUAAUACACACUAAAGAAAUCUCUGUGCUGGCUGGUAUUAUCCAUAUCAUUACUACAUUACAGACAAUAGGCUAAUUGCUUAUGGUAGGGUCAUUACUGGAAGGACAAGUACAUCUAUGACGUCUGUAAUGUGAUUUUUAAAGUUCUUUAAAACCCUUUCCUCCUGAAGUCUUUAAAGCAAUUGUAAUAGGAGGUGCACCCUCUGCCCCCUAGUGGUUCCACAGAGUCAGUCAAGAAAAAGAAACAAACCAAAAAAUGAAAUAAAAGUUAUUUGAAACAAAAGAAUUAUACUGUAUGUUUCUGGAGAGCAAUGAUAUAUUCAACACAAGACUGUUUAAUCUCAAAUACUGAACCACUAUUAGGGUUUCUCCCUUGUAUCGCAUUUUAUGUUUAAAUGCUGCCAGCAUCUCCACAGAGCAGUGAGGAAUCUUUAUAGCCUCUAGGCCACAGCUAAAUUCUUUGGCUUCUUCAUGGUAGAAGUGACAUAUCAACACAGGAUUAUAUUCUCUAAGCUUUGAAACUACAAAUAGAAAAGAACUGAUUUUUUAAAAAAAUGCGGCAUGUUCAAGGGCAUCGUUUAUCUCUUUACCUUGGGCAGGGUUUGUUUGUUUUUUGUUGUUGUUGUUUUGUUUUUUGUUAUUCUUUAAACUAAAUAUAUAUUCAUGUAAGAAUGAUAGAACUUGGCCAAUCAAAAUAAGCAAGAACAGUAGAGAGAGAAGGUAUUUCAUGUCAAGGCAGACAGAUGUCUUAGGAUUCUCCAGAACCCGUGUGUGUGUGUGUGUGUGUGUGUGUGUGUGUGUGAGAGAGAGAGAGAGAGAGAGAGAGAGAGAGAGAGAGAGAGAGAGAGAGAGAGAGAGAAGGCUUGUGUCUCAGCUGGUCUUCUGUAGAUGCUGGGAUCUAGAAUUGUAGGCUCCAAUGCCAGUGAAGAAAUGGAUGUGCUAGUAAGGCGAGGGCAAGCCGGCAAGAACAAAAGCUUCCUUCUUCCUUAUGUAGGCUCCCAGCAGAAGGUGUGGCCAGAUUAAAGGCGUCUCUUCCCUCUUCAAAGGUCCAUAUUAGAAGUGGAUCUUCCUACUUCAAAGUAAGCAAAAAUUCUUCACAUUUGUGUCCUCCAUUUUAGUCAAUUCCAGGUGUAGUCAGGUUGACAGCCAAGAACAGCUGUCACAGCUACAAAUCUUUUAGUUUCCUAGUGUUAUCUCAAUCUGUACAAUAAUCCACAAAAUACUUGGUGUUAUUUUAGUUUAACUCAUUAUACUCAUAGGAAACCAUGGCUCAGAGAGCUUAAGUAACUUACUAGAGGUCACACAGCUAACAAGUGAAAGAUUAACCUCUUACCACACUUGCUAAUGUAGGUUUUGGACAAGACAUAAUGUUAUUUAAACUUUGAUUGACGUUGCAAAAAUUGAGAUACAUACUAUGGAGUAAAGUGAGGGUUGUCUGUCAAAAUUAUUUUUAUUUAUUUAUUUUUGGUUUUGUGAGACAAGGUUUCUCUGUGUAGCUGGCUGACCUGCCACUCACUCUGUAGACAAGGCUGGCCUCCAGCUCAUAGAGAUUGGCCUGCCCCUGCCUCCCAAGUGUGGAGAUCAAAGGCAUGCACCACCACAGCCCGGCUGUUAAAAUGUUCUUGUCUGUAGAUGUGCACAAGGGGCUUGCUACUUGAUUUGUCCUCUGACUCCAGAAAGGGAGGGUGGCAGAUAUGAUGUAGAUACAGUCUUAGGCAGGACUGUACUUUCUUCCACUCACUCAUAGUUGUCCAAGAACAUGGUAAUUGAAUGACCCCAUUGGGGUUUCUGUGAAAUCUCAUUAUAAAUAUCAUGUGUUGAGUGUGUGUCAUGUAUAUUAACUCAUUUACACCUCAUAACAGUCCAAGACAGUUUGCACAACUUGUCUGAAGCCACAGGACGUUCACAGUGAGACAGGAUUCAAGGCAGAGACAUCUCUCUUCAGGAACUCAUGUGCACCUGGCCAUGUGGUCGACACUGCCUCUCAGUGUGAUCAGUGUUCCCUCACCAUCUUCUUGGAUGACAGUGGAGAUGUGGGAAAUGUAAGAAAUAACCACAGAGGGUCCCACCAGACCAAAAUAAGUGUGCAUGUGACGUAGGAAAACUUUGCAGACUGCUGGUACAGCAAGUGCAAAGGGCCUGUGGUCAGAGUUCAGAAUUCAAAGAAUAUGGGAGCUAAUAGAGGAAGAGUGGCCACAACAUGCAACACUUAGUUGUUAGAUUGUCAGUGGUGAGAGGACAGAGGCAGGGCACCUCACUGCCACCCUCCACUAUCCCCCUUAGGCAAACCUAGGAAUCUGUGGAUUACUCAGGAUAAAGUAGAGUUGGGUUGUAUGACAAAGAGAAAGACAAGCUUUGAGAAGAGGGUAUAAGCACCCUGGUGGGUAUGGGUGUGGGAUUCUCUGAGUGUCUAGUUAAUUAAAAGGCUUUUUUAUUUUUGACAAUAUUUUCUAUGUAGCUUUGGCAGGCCUGGCACUCACUAUGUAGACCCAGGCUGGCCUUAAACCUCAAAAGAUGUGCCUGCCUCUGCCUCCCAUGUGCUCAAAUUAAAGGUGUGUGCCACCAUGCCUGGUUUAAAAAGCACUUUUAACACAGAGUUUAAUAUGGUCGGCUUAAGGGAAAAUGGCGCUCAGGAAAAAGAAAACAUAUCCAAGUAUGAAUACAGGCUCCUCAAUUAGAGUCUCACUGGAGUCUCAGCAUGUACAUCUCGGUGACUCUUAUCCCAUCUCUAGAAGCUGCUAAGAGUGUUUUUUCCUUUGUCUUUUUGAUAAGUGAGGUUUUAGGGUUGCUCCAGUGGUGUCUUGAAUGUAUUUAUAAUUUAGGAAAUAAAAGCAGGAGCCACUAGGGCUGCACAAAGUGCUUAGGAUGUCCUUUUCCUGCAAAUGGUGUUUCUCUGAAACUUCAGAGAAAACUGAAGGUGUACCACGGGGAGAAGGACAUGAAGCAGCGGCUAAUAGGGCACUCACAGUGCUCAAAGUUUUGCUUUUCGGCUAGUCAGAGACUUCAAGCAGACUCCUAGGUGAGCCACUCUUUUUCCCUAGUCCUGCCCCCUCCCCAAUUCUCCUGUCCUUUUAUCUGACCUAAAUAUCAUGUCUGACGGGAAAUUAAUGGAGGAUUUUGAGCUCCCAAAUAAUCUCACAGAAAGGAGCCUUCUGCGCCAUGAACUCAUUCACACCUUACAGAAGGUCUGUAAGAGAUUUCUUGGUUCCAUAAAGAGGAGGAAGUGGAGAAUUAGAAAAGAGAAAGUCAGAAUGCUGCUCUACGUGAGCGUCUCCCCGGCAACCCCACUCCCAUGACCUCACUCCCAUGACCAUCAAAGGGGUUGUGCUGGGCAGACUGGCACAGGGGAGGCUGAGACCGAAAGUCAAAGCAAGCUUGAAGACAGCAUGAGUGAAUUCCAGGCUAAUCUCAGAAAUGCAGUGAGAUCCAUCUCAAAACAAAAGGGAGAGCAAUGAGGUGUGGCAACCAGGCUCCAAAGGGACACUCAGUGGACCUAAGCCAGUGGUCCUCUCCUGCGGGGCGUAGGUCUGGCCUAUAAAACCAGAUGCAGCAGGGACAGACAGAUGGAGAGCUGCUCCGUAGACAAGGUCAUAAGAAACAGUCUGUUCCUACUUUUGCUGUCUUAUAUGGCUUACUCUGAAGGAAGCCAGUCACGAGGAGUUCAGGCAGCCCCAGGAGAGGCCGAUAGGGAAAGGGCUGAAUGAAGCCAUGACAAUACUGAUUGCCAGUCACAUGGCAGUUACUUUGGGUCUUCCAGCACAGGUUAAUCUUUCAGAUAAUGGCCCCUCAUCAACAUUUUAACACCUUGAAACAUUGUGAUCCAGACAAUUAGGAUUAAGCCACUCCUGAUUUUUACAGACACACAAACUCAGAGACACAAUGUUAACUGUUGCUGAAGUUACUUGAGGUAAUUAGUGGCAUGGAAAGUUAACUGAUACAGUAUGCUUAUUUUUUUUAAAUGAGAAACCCCUCUUACAAAUGUUUUUAAUUUUUUUUUGUGUGUGUGUGGGGGGGGAUGGGUGUUUCUGUGAAACCACGUGUGUGCAGUACCGCGGCGGCGGCCAGAAGAGGGCACAAGAUCCCACGGAACUAGAGUAACUUGGUUUUAAGUAGCCACCACUGGGAAUUGAGCCCAGGUCUGCGGGAAGAGCAGCCAGUGUGCUUAACUGCUGAGCUAUCUCCUCAGACCUUACACACUAUAAUUUUGUAAAGCAAUUGCCCCUGACACUAUUGGAUCCAAACAGUAUGUAGACUGGAAAUAUUAAACCCAAAGUGUGAUAGCUUCCUGCCUUGACUUCCCUUAAGUAACUGGGCAUUUUCUAGAAUUACUGAAUUCUCUAACGAUAAUCAACUGUAAAUGGAACAUCAGUUUGCACCCACGAAGUUUAUUCUUCACUAACAUCAUAUGGAGAUAUAAUUCAGUGUGGCUACUUACUUAACUGCCUAUACUCACUACAGGGCAUCUCUUCCAGAACCAGGAGAACCUACAAACCUACUCUGUGCUGGUCCAAUUCAAAUAGUUGUCAUCAUUGUCUUUGCAUCACUUAAAUCAUCUCCUUUCCCUUGGGCCAUCUGUCUAGGAAUAGCUGCUACUCAUGUCAGAUUGAGACUUUAAAUUUGGUGUCUAUCGCCCUGGCUUUCAUCUUGCUUGCUGGACAAUUACAGUAACAUACCAAACUAAUCUUGAGCUACCAAAGCCCUGCAACUUCAGGGAUUAUUGAGUAAACAAAAAUGGGCAAAUCUUUGUUUACUAACCUAAAUUAGGGAUUCAUCUGAAAAGAUCUCUGAACUUUCAGGUUUUUCUCUGGAAAACCGCUACGACUUAAAUACUUUACGCACGAGUGGGAGCUCUGUAAAAUAUUUAACAAGCUUUUUACAAGUUAAAUUUGAAAGUCAAUCUCAUAAAUUUAGGAUGACCCUGCCUUGUGCCUUCCCACAUCUCUGUAGGAGAGGAGACUAUGGCAAUUCAUCUUUUCAGUCUUGGCUUAAAGAGCUGUGAGACUGGCAAGUAGCUGCACCCUGUUGUGAGGACAUAUGGCCAGCGCUUCUCCAGCUGAGCUCCGCUUCCUGCUUCAGAAGUCUCCCUGUGCCACUAAGUAGGAGAUGUGAAAAAACUUCCCUUGAAAGCAUGAAGAUGCAAAACACUUUCCCCUUUGACUAUAAAGAUCAGGCAGUUUGCUACUCUGCCUGUUAGGUCAGCUCCUUUCUCUAAUUUACCUGGAAUUGUGAGCACAUACCCAAAAAAUGUCAUUUAAUACACAUGGCGGGAAAUGUCCAUGUUUUUGGUUCAUGCCUUAUGAGAAAAAACCCUGGAGUUAGGUUCUCGAGUGCUGGAUGGAGUUCUGACUCCUGAAGUACACUAUUACACAAGUGUGCUAAAUAUUGCAAACCUGCUGCUCUGACUCAGCAGGCCGCCUGCAGGGCCUGAUCCCUUCAACACUGGAUACAGCAGGCCCUCUGCACCUGCAGGUCCCACGUCUGUAGAUUAAAACCAUCCAUCAAAAAUAUUCAAGCAAGGCCUGGGAGGACCCAGGUUCAGAUCCCUAGCAUCCCUCCAACACUGGAGGCUGUCCAUGCUCCUGUACUUCUAGAGCUGACAGGACAGACAUGGGAGGCACUAGGGCCUGCGGACCCUCUAGUCUAGCAAAUCAGUGACCUCCACUUUCAGUGAGAGACCCUGACUCAAAAAUUUAAAAGGUGGAGAUAUUGAGGAAGACCCCUGACUUGGACCUUUGAGCUCCACACAUAGACAUGUGUGUAGGGGAACCUGUAUGCAAAGUUUGGAAAUUUGAAAUAUGUGCAUCAUACUAUAGACACAUUCUCAGGGUUCCAAUGGGCUACUGCUCUUAACUCUGAAAAAGCUGAUUCUGUUAUUACACACCUGCUAGAGGUGAUGCAGUUAUGAGUAUACCUGCACAAAUAAAAACUGACAAUGCUCCAGCAUAUGUCUCUACAAAAUUGGAACAAUUUUUCAAAUAUUAUAACAUAAAGCAUGUUACCGGUAUACCACACAAUCCUACAGGACAAGCAGUGGUUGAGAGAUCUAACAGAACUAAAGGAGAUGCUCAACAAACAAGCUUGGAAGACUAAACCCCCCAAACAUAGGUUGCAUAAUGCUUUAUUAACACUAAACUUUCUUAAUGCCAAUGAGAAAGGACAAACAGCUGCAGAAAGACACUGGACUAUGGAGAAAACUGCUGAACUCAAUCAGCUGGUAUACUUCAAAGAUGUACUAACCUCUGUAUGGAAACCAGGACAUGUGUUACGUUGGGGUAGGAGUUUUGCAUUGGUUUCUACAGGAGAAGAAAAACUUUGGAUACCAUCAAAGUUGAUCAAGAUUCGAGUGGAAAGGGAAAAACCUCUCGACGAGGACAGGUAUUCUACUAAGGUAUAUCUCAUAAACUAAAUAGAAACCUCCCAAAGGAAAGGGAAGUGUUUUGCUUUUAUCUUCACAGGAAAACUCAUCUCCAGAAGGCAAAGGACACUGCAUGGAUAGAUGCUUAAGAAGAAAAAGUAGCUAUAACCAUCAAACAAAAGGAAUGUGCCAUAUGUCCCACACAGCCAAUGAAGACCUGCCUGACAGCAAUACCUGGACACCCCAGAAAGAAAAUGGGCUACAGCUCCUCGACUGCACUGGAUCCAACUUGCUCCAUUUCAACUGGCACUCCUACCAGAGGUUCAGGUACUGACUUUAAUCAAGUUGAGGAUUUCAAGCAAGAUCUUCAAUCAAGCAAAUCCCAUCUAACAUGGACUGGAUACAAUUCAAGACUUUUACUAUACUAACAUUUUCUUCCUACAGGACCCACAAGGAUGUCAUCAUCCCAUUUCAGCAGGAAGUAACUUGGAGAAUGCUAAGUCCCCUUUCCCCAUUGUUGCCACUUAGGAUAGUGUAUAUACCUAGUUAGAGAUAGCUUCUUAUUAUUUAUGGUUGGGAUUGGAAGGAGGUGUUCAGGCUUGGACACCUCUUUCAGAACACUUUAGGGUUUAGUUAAAAUAGAUAGUUAGGAUGUGACAUAAGCAGAUUGUUGUAUCUUCUUAUAUUUUACCUUUAUGAUUAUUAAUUUUGGAUACUUUACACUGUUAAGUUUUAAUCCUCUUUUAGACUAAAAGGGGAAUUGUAGGGGAACCUGUAGCCACACCUGCUUAGGGGCUAGCUACAGGUCUGCCUGACCACGCCUGCGAGGGCGUGGUCAGGGUGAUGUAGAGUGAGAGGGUCAGGGCUGCGUUUCACUUUUGUUUUCCCUUUCUGGCUUGCUGGACAGACUGCUGCCACGCCGGCUGGCUAGGUCGCUCUGUAAGUAAGGCUUUUCCCCAUUAAAAACCCUUAUAUUUCUACCUGACUCCGUAUUGGUAAUUUCCC
rnacentral:lncRNA from 1 species